CCUACGGGAGGCAGCAGUGGGGAAUAUUGCACAAUGGGGGAAACCCUGAUGCAGCGACGCCGCGUGAGUGAAGAAGUAUUUCGGUAUGUAAAGCUCUAUCAGCAGGGAAGAAACCCACCCUCCGGGGUGGCUGACGGUACCUGACUAAGAAGCCCCGGCUAACUACGUGCCAGCAGCCGCGGUAAUACGUAGGGGGCAAGCGUUAUCCGGAUUUACUGGGUGUAAAGGGAGCGUAGGUGGCAAGGCAAGUCAGAUGUGAAAACCCGGGGCCCAACCCCGGGAGUGCAUUUGAAACUGUCUGGCUAGAGUGCAGGAGAGGUAAGUGGAAUUCCUAGUGUAGCGGUGAAAUGCGUAGAUAUUAGGAGGAACACCAGUGGCGAAGGCGGCUUACUGGACUGUAACUGACGUUGAGGCUCGAAAGCGUGGGGAGCAAACAGGAUUAGAUACCCCAGUAGUC
rnacentral:rRNA from 1 species